rnacentral:rRNA from 1 species
AACCUGGUUGAUCCUGCCAGUAGUCAUAUGCUUGUCUCAAAAAAGAUUAAGCCAUGCAUGUCUCAGUAUAAGCUUCUAUACGGCGAAACUGCGAAUGGCUCAUUAAAACAGUUAUAGUUUAUUUGAUGGUCAUUCAUUACAUGGAUAACCGUGGUAAUUCUAGAGCUAAUACAUGCGCUCAAGCCCAACUUUGUGGAAGGGUUGUGUUUAUUAGAUACAGAACUAACCCAGGCUCCGCCUGGUCUUUUGGUGAUUCAUAAUAACCGAACGGAUCGCAUGGCUCCAGCUGGCGAUGAAUCAUUCAAGUUUCUGACCUAUCAGCUUCCGACGGUAGGGUAUUGGCCUACCGUUGCUUUGAUGGGUAACGGAGAAUUAGGGUUCGAUUCCGGAGAGGGAGCCUGCGAAACGGCUACCACAUCUAAGGAAGGCAGCAGGCGCGCAAAUUACCCAAUCCUGACAUAGGGAGGUAGUGACAAGAAAUACCAAUACGAGGCAUCUACGUCUAGUAAUUGGCAUGAGUGAGAUUUACAACGCUUCACGAGUAUCAAUUGGAGGGCAAGUCUGGUGCCAGCAGCCGCGGUAAUUCCAGCUCCAAUAGC